rnacentral:lncRNA from 1 species
UUUUACCAAAAAAUUAUUUAAAUUGAUUAUGGUAUACUAAUAUUAACAGGUUGUGUACAUAAUAAAUUACAAAGAUACAACAGAAGUAAUGAGCACCAACAAUGCACAAAAGCAGCGAACAAGGCAAAAGUCGAAAUUGAAACAACAACCACAAAAAAAUCAAUAUAACUAAUCAAAAGAAGGAAAAACAAGCUAAUCAUGUCAAUAAUCUGAUCUUUUCUAAAAUCAUAGACAUAACAGAUCUCCCAAGCGAACAAGCUAGAGGGAGGUCACACAUCCACCUACACAAAACAAAAGGAAGGAAACUAGCCACCAACACACUCAUAAAUGCAAAGUCAAUUGAGCGGGUCCCGCUCCAGGGUUUGACAAAGAAAUGACAAAACCCGAAGCAUGGGCAUGAACCCGCCUUCACACCAAGCUAAUAAUCUUAGACAUCUAGUGAUUUACCAUCAAACUUUCCCGAUAAAAAAUACUUUAAUAUGUAUUUUCCAAAUAGUUUAGACCAUCGAAUCCUAGACCAAAGCCAGAACUGAAGAGUGAUGUUUACCUUGACCUAGACCCUGAAACAACUCAAACACCCCUAAGAUCAAAUAUGGAAAAGGCCCAGGACGUCACAACCACCUAAACAUUUUAUACCAAAUAGAUGAAACAACCUCACAUAAGACCAAAAGAUGAUCAACCGACUUAACAUAUCCAACGCACAUGGUGCACACCACAUUACUAAAAC